ensembl:ncRNA F28D1.22 ncRNA
UCAUGCCUGCCUCCUGCCUGCCUACAGGCGUAUCUGCUGCCUAAGUGCCCACGACAAUUGUUUUAAAUUGGACUUUCAACAGUUGCAUUGUACUGAGUGAUUUUGUAUAUCUACACUGUGCUCUCAUAGCCAGAUUUCUUGCCAAAAUGCGGAAAUAGGCGGUAGGCAAGUGGGCAAGUGCUUGCCUACCAUUCGGUACCAUAUAUUGAAUCAACUGCCAUA